CCAUUGGGCACGACCGCACCAACCCUAGCUCCCGAUCCACAGCCACACACUCCUCCCUCCUCCCUCUCACAGCCGCCACACCCCAUUCCUCUCUUCCUCCUCCCUCCUCCUUCCCAGAUCCCUACCACCGCCACACCCACUCGUCUCCUCCUCUCUCUUUUAGCUAACUCCUUCCUGAUCUCUGCGUCGGCCGCAGUGCGAGAGGAGCAGUGGCGGCAGAGAUGCUCCGAUGGCGGCGUCGAGUUGCGAAGCGGCGGACGCUCGGGCGCGAGACGAUAGAAGCGGAAGCGGCUACUCCGGGCCCCGAUCUGGGGGGUUCGGUUCCAGGGCGCCGACGGCUUCUUUGUCUAUGACGCGGGGGCGAGCUGGGGUUCGUCAUCACCACGGCCGACCACCUCCCGUCGCUAGCCGAGCCCGGUGGUGAGGUGAAGGAGCAGGGUGGGCGGCCCGUCGCGAUGGGAUGGGGCUAGGGAAGAGGGAGGAGGCCGAAGGGUGAAGGAGCAGGCCGGCCCUCACGGUCACAGAGGCACCGCCGCUGGUGAGGUGAAGGAGCAGGGUGGGCGGCCCGUCGCGAUGGGAUGGAGCUAGGGAAGAGGGAGGAGGCCGAAGGGUGAAGGAGCAGGCCGGCCCUCACGGUCACAGAGGCGCCGCCGCUGUCCAGGGUCAUUCGCCGUCACCGGCCUCACUCGCCUCGUCUCCUAUCUCUUCAUCACUGCAUCCAUGUGAAUUUUUGGAGAAUGGUGCUCCGAUUUGGUCCCCAUGCUACAGGCCUGCAACAUUUAUAGACGAGGAUUGCAGGUGUCGAUACAAUGGAGCAAUUUCUGGCUUUGUAGUUGGAGCAUAGCCUCGAUUAUGCAUGAUUUUGGGGUUUUGCUCUCUCCCUGUGUGCUACACAUUUCUGCUCUCCCCAGUAGCAAUUGGAUGUUAAUCUGCUUUGGGCAGCGGCGGUGCAUCAAGGUGCAAGGCAGCAGCGACAUGUUCAUAGUACGCUAAAGGAUGAACUGCUACUUUUCCUGAUGCUAGCUCCUUGCUGCAGAUAUACCAGCCUGCUUACAGCUCCCAAGAUAUCCUCUUGGUCAAGGCAAUUGCACAUGAUGAAGCCACUCAUUUUAGUGGUAUACCACACUCUGAGCAAUAGGACCAAAAACAGGAAGAUAAAAUUUCACAAUUCGAUACUUCAUAUUUUCCAGAAGUACGGCCACCUUCUGCACAGUGCCCUUGCAUUGGGGUUCUUAUCAAAUAAGUUUCUUUCCGUAGAAUUUGUUCAGGAUAUGCAUUGUGCUUAAACAUGAGUGCUCGCUCGCCGAACGUUGGCCCUCGGAUGAAUUCGACGCUUGAAUCGAGCUGACGAGCCCCAUGGGGGUGAGGCGGAUAACAAUACGAGAAGGAGCAUGCCAUCGAGGAGUGCAAGCAGCGGCACUCCUCCACAAUGGGGUAUGGCUGCAGGGGAGGGGACGCGGCCAACGACAUGAAGAAGGAGCAGGUCGUCGAGGACUACAAGCAGCAGGUUUCCUUUGACUGGAGGUCUGAAACUGAAGAUAGGGCAUAUUGUUUUGGUUCUGAGUGGCCGGAGAUAUUGUGGCUUGAUGUCCCUAGAGCAGUCGGACCCUUCCAAGAUAGAAGAUCUUUGGGAUUGACGUUCUGAUGAGAAAGUAGCAUACGGAUGGAUGGACAUGAACUAUUCAGUGGUCGAACUGCGCUAUAUUUCUUUCAUUGAGGCGAGGGUGAUUCCAGUAGGUGAGGUGCAUUUUAGACAUCCGGAUGUCUUGCUAUGUUCAGGUGGUACCAUGUCUAAAUUAAGAUUUCCCUUGGCGUACUCGCCUUUUUUAUUGAAGUUGGGUGUCCGUCUUCUCUGCGGCAAGGUGAGCUUAUCCCAUUUACUUUGUUCAAUCCAGAGUCAAGAUUCAUAUCCCCUUCACUGUCAUUUCAUUUGUGAGAAUUUAUUCCAUUGAUCCAUGUUGUCGGCAUCCUGACAAUUUAUCUUUUUCUGCCGAUCACAAUUGCUUCUGAACACACCGGCCCAUCUCAUUGAGGAAAUCCCCCUGCUCUGCUUAAUUAAAAUUAAUGUGAAAUAUGUUUCUACCAAAACUAAUUACAAUUUAUUCUUUUUAGUUUCUACUGAUUUUCACUAUGAAAUAUUGGGGCCCGAGUAGUUCAGUUCAAUUCCCGGUGGAUAUGGCACACACAUGUAUCAUCGCUGUUAUCGUAAUUGAUACCAACACCUUGACUGAAUCGCAUAGAGUAGACUGCCCUGAUAAUUCUUGCACAACCAAGCUAUCUGUAACAUAGAAUAGACUGUGAGCAUGCCCUGGGGACAUGUCUAAAUAAUUCCUGUACACAUGGACACUGGGUAUGUUUGUAAUCGCCCAAGAAAUUAGCAGCUGGAGAUUAUUUGUUGAAAAAUCUAACGGUGUUUCCUUACCAUCAGCUGCUAUUUCAGUAGUUCUAAAAUGUUCUGCAAGAUAAUGUAUAAUGAAUAUGUAGCUAUGUUCAUGUAUGUAUAGCUUUGCAUAAUAAUGUUUUGUAUGGCAAAGGUUCAUAUGGCUGGAAGGGAAAUUAGUAGCUGCACCUUGGUACCUGCAAAUAAUUUGUUUUACAGUGUCCCUUGAUGGUUCUCCACUUCAGACACUAAAGAUACCGAUGGAGCUUUGUUUAGGAUCUGGGGAGUCAGAUUGUGGAUUACAUGUAGUGGGGAAGUAGAGAGGGGGACGAGGAAGAGGACACCGUCGGUGGCGUGCUAUAUCUCACUAGGCGACAAUGUCGAGAGGGUGCCUGGCAUCAAGAACCCGACAUGCUUUUCCAAGUGUUCGUUGAGGUGAGCCACCUGGGCCGGUCUAUGGGUUGAGGUGGUUUGAUAAUCCUGGGUUGUUCCUCUUUUUCCUGUGUUUUUUUUCAGGAAAUGACUUUAUUUAUUGGAAAAUGGCAAUAUUGUUUACAAGUAUACAUGAAACAAACUAUUUUUCCUACACCUCUUUGUUCUGUGUAAUGGUGCUCUUGGUUGAGUGUGCUGACGAAAGAGAUUCCAUGCUACAGGCUAGGUAGCUUCUCAGUAACUCUUCAUGAUUUACUUGCAAUGUUGUACUUUGCAAAAUUGUUCCUUGCAAUCCUAAAAUGGUUUCUCAAAACAUGGGAAAAUUACAUUCUAAAAAUUUUAGGCACACUGAGUGAAGCAUAUAUAUAAAGGACGCGGCUAAUCUGCUCUCGGGCUCAAAUGAGCUCGGGUGAACAGUAAAAUCAAAACUAAAUCAAAAAAAAAUUCAAAAAAUUCCAAAUGGA